AAUUACUUGAGAAACAGCAUGUCACAACAACGGCUUUCUGGCCUUGCCCUUCUAAGCAUUGAGAAUGAAAGAGCAAGAAAACUGGACAUUCCAGCUAUUGUUGACAAAUUUGCUGAGUCUAAAGCGAGACGGCGCAACUUCUAGUAAUAUGUAUUUUGCGUAAGUGAGCAGUUUGUUGGGUACAGGGAGUUAUAUUAUCAAAGUUCAUACUAACCCAGUUCAAUUUAUUCAACUUUGGUUGUACUAAACAGUUAACUAGUUUGGUUCUAUUUUAGCUGCCUUCUUUUUGGUAACAAUGAUGCAGAUUAAUAAACAAUUCUGAUGUUGUUACACUCUAAAACACAACGACCGCCUUUGAACUAUUUGAAUACAGCACUGGUUUCUGCACAACAAAAGCUUAAUAUCAAAAAGAAGGCAGAUGUUACCAACAUCAAAAAUACUUAACAUAAUUACUAAAUGCUACCAUCUCCUUUCCUACAGUGAGAACAAAUUGGUUCCUUUCUACUUGAUGCCUCCUCGUUGGACCUGGCUGGUUAAUUUUGAUGUUUCAUUUGGAUUUCUGUUCUGGUUGAGAAGCACAACUCGUGCUUAUUCACAAUCAAAUUUUGUGAGAACAAAUUGGUUCCUUUCUACUUGAUGCCUCCUCGUUGGACCUGGCUGGUUAAUUUUGAUGUUUUAUUUGGAUUUCUGUUCUUGUUAAGAAGCACAACUCGUACUUAUUCACAAUCAAAUUUCAGUGAUUUACCAAGAUAUGGGUCAAGAAGCUUUAUGCCUUAUGUGGAGAAUCUUUGUUCUGGAACGCUUUUAACAUUUUUUUCUAUAUUUUAUAUGGUAACAUUAAAAAAAAAAAAUUAAAACCCCUAUCUCC